rnacentral:rRNA from 1 species
UGGGGAAUUUUGGACAAUGGGGGCAACCCUGAUCCAGCGACGCCGCGUGGAGGACGAAGGUCUUCGGAUUGUAAACUCCUUUUAGAGGGGAUGAACGACCUGGUGAAUAGCCAGGCCUGACAGUACUCUUUGAAUAAGCCACGGCUAACUACGUGCCAGCAGCCGCGGUAAUACGUAGGUGGCAAGCGUUACUCGGAAUCACUAGGCGUAAAGCGCAGGUAGGCGGUUUGGUAAGUCUUUUGUGAAAGCUCCUGGCUCAACUGGGAGAGGUCAAAGGAAACUACCAGGCUAGAGUGUGGUAGGGGAUACUGGAAUUCCUGGUGUAGCGGUGAAAUGCGUAGAUAUCAGGAGGAAUACCUAUGGCGAAAGCAGGUAUCUGGGCCAUCACUGACGCUGAGCUGCGAAAGCUAGGGGAGCAAACAG